CCUACGGGGGGCAGCAGUGGGGAAUAUUGCACAAUGGGGGAAACCCUGAUGCAGCGACGCCGCGUGAGUGAAGAAGUAUUUCGGUAUGUAAAGCUCUAUCAGCAGGGAAGAAAAUGACGGUACCUGAUUAAGAAGCCCCGGCUAACUACGUGCCAGCAGCCGCGGUAAUACGUAGGGGGCAAGCGUUAUGCGGAUUUACUGGGUGUAAGGGGAGCGUAGACGGCAGCACAAGUCUGGAGUGAAAUGCCGGGGCUUAACCCCGGAACUGCGUUGGAAACUGUGCAGCUAGAGUGCAGGAGAGGUAAGUGGAAUUCCUAGUGUAGCGGUGAAAUGCGUAGAUAUUAGGAGGAACACCAGUGGCGAAGGCGGCUUACUGGACUGUAACUGACGUUGAGGCUCGAAAGCGUGGGGAGCAAACAGGAUUAGAUACCCUAGUAGUC
rnacentral:rRNA from 1 species